UACGUAGGGGGCUAGCGUUGUCCGGAAUCAUUGGGCGUAAAGCGCGUGUAGGCGGUCCGGUAAGUCCGCUGUGAAAGUCGGGGGCUCAACCCUCGAAUGCCGGUGGAUACUGUCGGGCUAGAGUGCGGAAGAGGCGAGUGGAAUUCCUGGUGUAGGCGGUGAAAUGCGCAGAUAUCAGGAGGAACACCAAUUGCGAAGGCAGCUCGCUGGGACGUAACUGACGCUGGAGACGCGAAAGCGUGGGGAGCAAACAGG
rnacentral:rRNA from 1 species